rnacentral:rRNA from 1 species
AUUGAACGCUGGCGGCAGGCUUAACACAUGCAAGUCGAGCGGGGAAAAGUAGCUUGCUACUGGACCUAGCGGCGGACGGGUGAGUAAUGCUUAGGAAUCUGCCUAUUAGUGGGGGACAACAUCUCGAAAGGGAUGCUAAUACCGCAUACGUCCUACGGGAGAAAGCAGGGGACCUUCGGGCCUUGCGCUAAUAGAUGAGCCUAAGUCGGAUUAGCUAGUUGGUGGGGUAAAGGCCUACCAAGGCGACGAUCUGUAGCGGGUCUGAGAGGAUGAUCCGCCACACGUGGACUGAGACACGGCCCAGACUCCUACGGGAGGCAGCAGUGGGGAAUAUUGGACAAUGGGGGGAACCCUGAUCCAGCCAUGCCGCGUGUGUGAAGAAGGCCUUUUGGUUGUAAAGCACUUUAAGCGAGGAGGAGGCUACCGAGAUUAAUACUCUUGGAUAGUGGACGUUACUCGCAGAAUAAGCACCGGCUAACUCUGUGCCAGCCGCCGCAGUAAAAC